UAAUACAUAGGGUGCAAGCGUUGUCCGGAAUUAUUGGGCGUAAAGAGCUCGUAGGUCGUUUGUUACGUCGGAUGUGAAAACCUGAGGCUCAACCUCAGGCCUGCAUUCGAUACGGGCAAACUAGAGUUUGGUAGGGGAGACUGGAAUUCCUGGUGUAGCGGUGGAAUGCGCAGAUAUCAGGAGGAACACCAAUGGCGAAGGCAGGUCUCUGGGCCAAUACUGACACUGAGGAGCGAAAGUCUGGGGAGCGAACAGGAUUAGAUACCCUGGUAGUCCAGACCGUAAACGGUGGGCACUAGUUGUGGGAACCUUCCACGGUUUCUGCGACGCAGCUAACGCAUUAAGUGCCCCGCCUGGGGAGUACGAUCGCAAGAUUAAAACUCAAAGGAAUUGACGGGGCCCCGCACAAGCAGCGGAGCAUGCGGCUUAAUUCGACGCAACGCGAAGAACCUUACCAAGGCUUGACAUAUAGGGAAAAGGUGGCAGAGAUGUCAUGUCCGCAAGGGC
rnacentral:rRNA from 1 species